UCUUAUGGAAGAGCAAAAAAUAGUGGUUUCUUGAGAUAGAAUUAACUCCUGGUGAAGAUGCUGUGAA
rnacentral:pre_miRNA from 1 species